rnacentral:lncRNA from 1 species
UUGAUGUCUUGGAGGAACUAGCUAAUCAACCAAUUCCAGAGCAUGUUACUAGAGAAAUGUUAAAUGAUUUAAAAAAAGAUUUCCUUGGUAGCAUGAACUAUUAAAUUUAAAUGUCUAUUAGUAUGAGUAUAAUAAUUCGAGGUCUAAUUCAAACAGAACCCUUCCUAGAAGGUGGCUGUGUAGAUUAGAUUUUUUAAUACUCUACUAAUAUUUUGUAACUCAACUUGUACUAUUUAAAUAAUAUUAAUAAAAGUAUAGGCUAUUCGCC